AUUCUGUAAGAAUGGCCAGCUGGCAAGAUUUCUUCCUGAGUUUGAGAACUGGAGCAACACUGUAGCUGUGAUAGUUAUUGGCAACUUAAUAUGAGAUGUUCAAGCAGUUGCUUAUGAGGAACCAAAACACUGGUGCUCUAUUGUCUACUAUGAGCUCAACAAUCGUGUGGGUGAAGCGUUCCAUGCCUCCUCCACAAGUGUGUUGGUGGAUGGUUUCACUGAUCCUUCCAACAAUAAGAACCGUUUCUGCCUUGGGCUGCUCUCCAAUGUUAACCGGAAUUCCACUAUUGAAAACACCAGGCGGCAUAUUGGAAAAGGAGUUCAUCUUUAUUAUGUUGGAGGGGAGGUGUAUGCCGAAUGCCUUAGUGACAGUAGCAUCUUUGUGCAAAGUCGGAACUGCAACUACCAUCAUGGAUUUCAUCCUACUACUGUUUGCAAGAUCCCUAGUGGGUGUAGUCUGAAAAUUUUUAACAACCAAGAAUUUGCUCAGUUAUUGGCACAGUCUGUGAACCAUGGAUUUGAGACAGUCUAUGAGCUUACAAAAAUGUGUACUAUACGUAUGAGCUUUG
rnacentral:sRNA from 1 species